UUUAUGUUUUCUUCAUGUUCACUUAUGACUAUUAGAAACCCCAAUACUGUUAUUGCUUGGCUUGUCUUAGUGACUUCUGAUCACAUCUCAUUUAUUUGCAUCACACCCAUUUGGAUUGACACCUAAAAUACUACAACGACAUGAUUGGUGUUUUAUGAUAAUUGACUAAAAACAUAUUAUCAACCGCAACGGAUCUUAAAAGCCUAAAUAUUGUAUCCUUGUUAGAAGAUACAUAGACAAAGACUCAUACGGAAUUCGGCUAAACCAUCAAAGCUUUUAGAAGCAAGAAGAAGCUUGGUUAGUGUUUUGGAGUGAAAUAUGACUAGAUGUCAUAUGUAUGACUGAGUAUACCAACUAGAACCACAAUUGGAAUUUUAAAAGCCUAAGUAUUGUAUCCUUGUUAGAAGAUACAAAGACAAACACUCAUACGGACUUUGGCUACACCAUCAAAGCUUUGAGAAGCAAGAAGAAGCUUGGUUAGUGUUUUGGAGUCGAAUAUGACUUGAUGUGAUGUGUAUGAUUGAGUAUAAGAAAUUAAACCGCAAUCGGAUCUUAAAAGCCUAAGUAGUGUUUCCUUGUUAGAAGAUACAAAGGCAAAGCCUCAUACAGACUUUAGCUAUAUCAUCAAAGCCUUGAG
rnacentral:sRNA from 1 species